rnacentral:rRNA from 1 species
CCUGGCGGCCGUAGCGCGGUGGUCCCACCUGACCCCAUGCCGAACUCAGAAGUGAAACGCCGUAGCGCCGAUGGGAG